rnacentral:rRNA from 1 species
UCUCCGUGCAGAGCACGGCGAAUUGUAAUCUGUAGAGGUCAUGCUCAAAAGAGAGUGGCGCAGAAGUGCCCUGGAACGGGCCGCCAAAGAGGGUGACAGCCCCGUACGUGGCGCCGCGAUCUAACGAGCAGGCUUUCAAAGAGUCGGGUUGUUUUGUAUUGCAGCCCUAAGUGGGAGAUAAACUUCUUCUAAGGCUAAAUAUAUGUGGGAAACCGAUAGCGAACAAGUACUGUGAAGGAAAGAUGAAAAGCACUUUGGAAAGAGAGUCAAAAGACCUGAAACCGUUGAGGAGGAAGCGGUAGAGAUGAAUUCUACGUCAAGGCGCUGGGAAGCCGGCCAAACAAUGGCGGGCAGGUCGUACGUCAAAGGCGGCAGCUCGUCCAAAGGGAAGCCGGUGGCUCGCGCGGUGGCGUGAGGCCGGAUGGGGUACCGUGACUACAGAGGCCUCCUAGGCCUAGGGUGAUUCGUCGCUCAGCCUGGGAGUGCCGGUAGACGCGGGGCCUGAGGAAGCUUAGUGCGAUCCGGUCAAAAUGGUCUUUACCGACUCGUCUUGAAACACGAACCAAGGAGUCUA